AGAUGAGAGGGAUUGUUGUGAUUGUGUUGGCUGUCAGCUUAGGACUUAGCGUGCUAUUGGUUAACAACAGCGACCAGCUAUUUGAGAUAAGCCGUUCAGAUGAUCCAGUUUAUGAACGUGAGACAGCUGCCCCCAGUAUAGAUGGACCAUCCCUCACUAUUGUGACGAUGUUUCUACGUCUCGGUUCCCUACAAAAAGGUUUUAGUGGCUUGUACAACACACACGAGAAGUACACACAGUGGAUGGUCACGUGGGGAUGGCUGACCAAUCACGUCGUGGCUUUUGUUGAAGACGAGGAAACGCUUCAAUA